rnacentral:tRNA from 2 species
AGAAAUUUAGGUUUAAAUAAACCAAAAGCCUUCAAAGCUUUAAAUAAGAGUGAAAACCUCUUAAUUUCUG